rnacentral:rRNA from 1 species
UACGUAGGUGCGAGCGUUGUCCGGAAUUACUGGGCGUAAAGCGUGCGUAGGUGGUGAGUUAAGUCUGUCGUGAAAGCCCCGGGCUCAACCUGGGAAUGGCGAUGGAUACUGGCUCGCUAGAGUGCGGUAGAGGAGAGUGGAAUUCCCGGUGUAGCAGUGAAAUGCGUAGAGAUCGGGAGGAACAUCAGUUGCGAAGGCGGCUCUCUGGACCAGCACUGACACUGAGGCACGAAAGCGUGGGGGAGCAAACAGG